rnacentral:lncRNA from 1 species
UAUCCUUGAGGAAGAGAAUGUUGGAUUUCUAAGGAGAUAGCAUACAGAUUUUUUUCAUCACAUGAAAACACAUAGCAGAAUGGUAAAUUAAAAUAAUUUUAAUUUAAUCAUGCUAGGAUCUAAUCCUAUGAUCUCCUAGAAAAUCUUUAAUCAUGCAAUGAAACAAGCAUUCAAAAUCUGAAAAUAAAAUAGGAAAGAAGAACGAUUAUCUUAAUCGCAAACCCUUGUUCUUACUUAGAUC